GACGAAGGUGGCGAGCGUUGUUCGGAAUCACUGGGCAUAAAGCGCACGUAGGCGGCGACGUAAGUUGGGUGUGAAAUCCCUCGGCCCAACCGAGGAACUGCGCCCAGUACUGCGUUGCUUGAGGAUCCAAGGGGUGCAUGGAAUUCCCAGUGUAGAGGUGAAAUUCGUAGAUAUUGGGAAGAACACCGGUGGCGAAGGCGGCUCACUGGCUCGUAUCUGACGCUCAGGCGCGAUAGCGUGGGGAUCAAACAGG
rnacentral:rRNA from 1 species